rnacentral:lncRNA from 1 species
CCUUUAUAUCUCAUAAGUUGCUGCGUCUUUAACCAUUUCCUGAUCUCACCCUCCACCCCAUCCCGUGCCUUCCUCUUUUAAAAUCUCUGUGUGUAUGUGUCCCUGUGUGCUUGUGUGUGCCCAUGUAUGUGUCCAUGCCUGUGUGCAUGCCUGGAUACUGUGAAUGUAGCUGCAGACAGAUCAGGGCACUUGUGAGCUCAGAGGUUAAUCGUGGUGCAGGGCUUCAUCUUCCAUCUUGUUUCUCACUGCUUAUGCCAGGCUAGCUAGCUUUCGGGGACUCUUCUGUCUCUGUCCUCACAUGUCCUGGUAGGAGUGCUCGAAUUAUAGACAUGCUGCCCAGCUUCUGUCUUGCUUUUUCACCUGCCAUGACACUCGAAUAAUUGCUAUUACUUAGCUGGUUACCCGCUUCGAGUCAAUCACCCUGAGAUGUUGGUCUUCAUCCCCAACUUGACUAGAUUUAGAAUCACGUAGGAGGUACACAUCUAAGCACAUCUGUGGUGUUUUCAGAUAAAUUCAACUGUGUAAGGAAGAUCCAGUUACAUGUGGGCAACGGCAGCCAAUGGGCUGGGGCCUGAGAAUCAGCAUUCAUCCGUUUCUUGACUGUGUGACAGCCUGAAUCCAACCUCAGUGUGCCUCUGUCAGGUAUUUUUCUCAGUGUGAAUCUGCACUAGUGCCUGACUCUCACCCAUCUCUUCCUGCUCACAGCCUGCCCCCCUUCAGUACUGCAUGGGCUUUGGGGGUCCAUCUCCCCACUGUCGCUCCAGUCCACCCACCCAGUAUCACUGCCUCUCCCAGGUGACUCUAAGCUGCUCCAAACACCUCAGGUCUGUUCUUGUCUGCGUCACCCCCCAACCCCCAGUGUGUCCAGCAGAGUUCCCCUCCGCUUGGCCAGCUUCAUAAACAUUUGCUGAGUUGAGCUAGCUCCCACCUGGCCUGCUGCCAGGCUGAGAGUUGGAGAAAUUAAACAGCUUGCACCAGGUGGGAAACUAUGCUCACAGCCCCCAACACAUAAUGCGACCUUUCUUUCCAUUCCUUCAAGAUUAACAGGAUAGCUGGAAGUCCCGCUGGCCAUCGGACACUCGUUCAUUAGGUGCUAACUAUGUGUCAGGCACUGGGUACUGGGAUGCGAUGGUGAACAAGACAGCCACAGACCAGCUCUCCUUGGAAACUGAGCUCAGAGGUGGAAACCAACCUAAAUAAACGCAGUAGCCUGAGAGAGGAACUGUUGUUCUUUUGCCUGUUUGCCUUGAGACAAAGACUU